UUACACCCAGGGGUGUGAAACUCUCAUACAAUAUCGUAAUUCAAAAAUAUUCAUACAAACUAACGCCAUCUCUUAGAGGAGGAGGGUGAGUUCGGGGUGAUAGAUUAAUGUGCCAAAAAUAGAUGGCAGUAGCAGCAGUAGAGUCGAGAAUUUUUGCAAAUAUAAUUAAUUUAAAUAAUCAAUCAAACAUGUUUUGUACGAUUCAUAGGUAUAAAAAAAUAUAUUAUAAAAUAUAAGUAUAUUUUAAUUUAUCUCCAAUAUUUUUUGCCGUGGCAAUAUUAUUGAGGCCCAUCGUGCAUUAGUCGGCCAUAUUUGAAUUUUGAAUCACUCGUUUAUUUGUGUUUGUUCAGUGUUCGUUGUGAUUUUAAUUUUAUUGUGUUAUUCCCUACGUUUUGGCUUGUUUACGGACUUUUUGAUCUUCUACGUGUUACGACAUCACCUGGAUUGUUAUUUGGACCCCGGACUGAUUGCAUGACUGUUAACUUGGCUCUUUAUUACACGGAUUACAAUUUUUGCAAUUUUGAUUAAGUAUUUUAAAAUGGCGAAAUCAGCUGAAUUAAAAUGUUAUUUCAAAUGUGAUAUUGAUGGACCCUUACAUCGCUUUCCCAAAUGGGAAUAUCCUCAUACAGAGAAGUUAAACCAAUGAAAAUUUUGAAAUUUUGAUAGGAAUGAUCAUGUUAAAAAACAAGCAUCCGAUUAUUAUAAUAAAAGAUGAAAAUAAACAACAGUUUUAUAAAUUCUA